rnacentral:lncRNA from 1 species
UGUGGUGGACUGACGUCUCCCGUGGUGGACUGUCCCCUCGGGCUGGAAGCCAAGACAAAUCCUUCAGACAGGGCCAGAUCAACUGUCCAGAUCACUGAUAACUGCUCUCAGGUCGUCUGUGUCUCCUGGGAGGAUCGCUGCUCCUACAGAAUUCACCACAGAUCUCGAACUUACCAUUGUCCAGUCAAUUCCCUGCUCAGCUCCCAGGUGCCCUCCCUCUUCUCAUUUCCUCUGGCAUGUCAGGCCUCCAUCACCCGGUGCACGGCUACUUCAGCAACCUCCAGUGCUCUUCCUUUUAAUCCAGCCUGUGAUCAGGAAUUACAAUGUGCCCAGCCUGCACACUGCCUGAGGCAUGGCUAUGAGCUCACCACCCUCCCUGAAGCUAAGAGUCCAUCUGACCUGGUGGUCAUCUCUUCUGAUGACCAGCUCUACCCAAGAUUUCUGCUACAAACCUCUCAAGUUUGAGGGAUACAAGAAGCACCCCCACUUCAGUCCAACUGGCCGUGAAUCCUGGAAUCCCCACGUAUCUGACAAUACUUUGAUUUUUCCAUCAGCACAAAACUGAAGGGAGAGAUAUGCAGAAUAAAUCCGUACCUGGG